UGGGCUGGUCGGAUGAUCGCGGUACCUUUGGUGUCGAGGAAAGUCCGCACUUCAACGAGCGAGAUGCCGGGUAAUUCCCGGAGCGGGAACGCCUUCAAGGAAGACCUGCUGGAAUGGGCCACAGAAAAUAACUGCCUGAAAAGGUGAUGGUGAAAUGGUGGUGUAAGAGACCACCGGCGAUCACAGUAAUGUGACGGCCAGGCAACCCCCAUCUGAAGCAAGGCCAAGCAGAGGCAAAACUCUUCGGAGUGGGAGAUUGCUCAUCUCCUCAAGCUUCGGGUAGGCUGCAAGAAUUUGUUGGUAACAACAAAUCCAGAUAGAUGAUCAUCCAUUUACCUUCGGGUAGAAGACAGAAUGCGGCUUAUAGAUCAGUUCAUCAA
rnacentral:RNase_P_RNA from 2 species